CCGGGACGGACGAACCUCUGGUAUGUCAGUUGUACCGCCAGGUGCAUGGCUGAUUGGCUACGUUCGGGAGGGAUAACCGCUGAAAGCAUCUAAGCGGGAAGCUUGUUUCGUGAUGAGUUCUCCUGGCCCCCGUGUGGGGUGUGAGGUUCCCUGUAGAUGACGGGGUUGAUAGGCCGGGUAUGGAAGCGCUGUAAGGUGUGGAGUUGACUGGUACUAAUAGACCGAAGGCUUACA
rnacentral:rRNA from 1 species